GAUAAUAGAACUAGGUGGUGGGUGGGGGCAAGGUAAGGCAAGAGAGACCAGGACAUAUUCUGGGGAGUGUGGCUUGGGCUGGAGUGAGUCUGGAUGGAAGAAGAGGCUGCAUCCUGAGAGCAGGAGGCCUGGAGUUGGGAUUGGAUCACACAUGCUGAGGGAGCCAUGGACUACAUUUAACCAGGGGAAGGAUACAAGCAGGCUGAGGACCUCACACACAUUUGCAGGCUGGGACCCAGCAGGGGCUGUUGCACUUCCCCAAAGUCACACAGCUUUGGUGUUCAUGAAAGUUUGGUCCCAAAGUAGAAAAUAUAGACACUGGCAUUGCUGGGUCCAUCCCAGCCUGUGUUCUGGAAGUCAAGGCUCACACACAUCCCUUCCCCUCCCAGGGCUCAUCUCAGAGGAGACUCCAGAAAGCAGCUUCCUGGUAGAAGGGGACAUCAUUCGGCCAAGCCCCUUCCGAUUGUUGUCAGUGACCAAUAAUAAAUGGCCCAAGGGUGUUGAUGGCAUUGUGGAGAUCCCCUUCCUGCUCUCCAGCAAGUACGGUGAGUGAGAGCUGAGGCGGGCCUUCCCACCUUCCUUCCCUAUGCAUCAGGACUCCUGCACCAUCUAUACAUCACGCGUCUCCUUCUGCGGAAUCACAGCCCCUCUCUUAUACCAACAGUGCUGUGCAGAGCUCCUACACCGGGGCAUCCUGAGCUAUGGUGGGGAGGGGUACUAAAACCCCGGGGAUGCUGAUGGAGUUCU
rnacentral:lncRNA from 1 species